rnacentral:lncRNA from 1 species
CUUCUUUGUAGGAAUGAGAAAUGGGAAAGAAUUGCAUUCUGAUAAAUAGAUUAAUGGUUAAACAAAUCAUGGCACAUUCAAACCAAGGAAUUUUGUAGCCAUUUGAAGCUUGUAGUGAGCAGUAAAAUUGCCAACAUACGGUGAGUGAAAUGAAGUCACAGAACAGUAUUACUAGUGUCUAUCAGUUAUGUAAAGCUAACCAAAAACCGUGCAUUUACAUGUGUGUGUUUGCUAAUGCAUUUUGAUCAGGAUCUGGAGCACUGUAUCAAAGCAUCAUAAGUAGACUCCCUUUUCACUUUUUGUUCUCCAAUGGCUCAGAAUUGUGAACUCUUUACGGGCAUGUAUUUUACAGUUUUAAAACAAUUGUUUUUUGUUUUUUUUUUUUGGUGGGGUUUGGGGAGCAGGGUCUCACUCUGUUGCCCAGGCUGGAGUGCAGUGGCAUAAUUUCUGCUCACUGCAACCUCCGCCUCCCAGGUUCAAGUGAUUCUCCUGCCUCAGCCUCCCGAGUAGCUGGGAUUACAGGUGUGUAUCACCAUGCCCAGCUAAUUUUUGUAUUUUUGAUAGACAUGGGGUUUCACCAUGUUGGCCAGGCUGGUCUCAAACUCUUGACCUCAAGUGAUCCACCUACCUCGACCUCCCAGUGUUGAGAUUACAGGCAUGAGCCAAAACAAUUUUUAAAUACUGGGGCAAGAUCACAAUAGAAAGGAAGAGUUUGAAGACGUGAGUGACAUGGGAUAAAGGAGGAGGAAGUUCCCUGAGGAUUAGAUGAUGGUGACAGCAGUAGCAGCAGGAGCAGGUAACAUUCAUUUAGAGUUGAGAUGUGCCACACCCUGCUCUAAAUGCUUUAUGGAUAUCAAGUCCCCUUAUUCUCACUAGAAGUCUGGUAGACAUGAUUAGUCAAGGACACGGAGGCACAGAGAGGUGGAGCAACUCCACAGCUAGCAAAGCUGGGAUUCAAAGCCAGGCAGUCUGGAUGCAGGGCCAGUGCUCCAGCCACUGCCCCCUACUGCUGGCUGUUGGUGGGAUCCAGAGCAUAGGUGAUGGACUGGCCUGAGAGGAGGAGGGAAAGCUCAUUAAACCUCUGGAUCAGUUUGUUGCUGCAUUAACACUUUCUCACAAAUGUAAAAGCUCAAAACCACCACCACUGAUUACCUCACAGUGGUGUAGGUCAGAAGCCUGAGCAGGCUCAACUGGGUUCUCGACCUUGCAUCUCACAAACCCCAACCGAAGAUGUCAGCAGAGGUGGGCUUCCAUCUGGAGGCUCUGGGUAAGAAUAUGCAUCCAGAACCAUUGAGGGUGGCAGAAUGCGGAUCUUUUCAGCUGUAGGACUGAGAGCUCCAUUUCCUUGCUGGCUGUUAGUCAGGAACCUUUGAUGAGAGUUUGCUGCAUCCCUCACCAUGUGGCCCCUUCAACUCUAAAACCAGUAAUGAUGCGUGGAAUCUUUCACAGGCUUGGACUCUCUGACCUCCUCUUUGGUUAACAGCCAGGGACAAAUCGAGUUCCAGAGGGUUCUCAUGAUUUGGUUAGGAACACCCAGGUGGUCUCCCUUUCCUUGUACUGGUAACACAAUCUAGUCACAGGAGUAAAGUGCAUCCUAUUAACAGUCUGAAGAUUAGUGGGAGAAAUCAUGAUGCCAUUUUAGCCUGGGUAAUUUAUAAAGAAAAGACACCUGCCUGGCUCAAGGUUCUGCAGACAGUACGAGAAGUGUGGUGCUGGAAUAUCUUUCCGGUGAGGCCUCAAGAAGUUUACAGUCACGGUGGAAGGCAAUGAGGAGCCAGCAUAUCACAUGGUGACAGCAACAGCCAGAGCAAAAGAGGGAGGGAGAGGUGCCACUCACACUUAAACAACCAGAUCUGGUGUGAACUGACUCAUCACCAAGGGGAUGGCACUAACCCAUUCAUGAGGGAUCUGCCCCCAUCAUCCAGACACCUCCCACCAGGCCUCAUCUCCAACACUGGGGAUUACAUUUCAUCAUGAGAUUUGGAGCGGACAAACAUCCAAACCAUAUCAGUAGGAUGUCUGACAUUCAUCAUACGAUGUCUGAGUGAAGGGAGGUUUAAGGGCUUAUUUUGUCUCCCUGGAUAGUAAUGGAAAAUGUAUAUCUGAAAGAGAUGUCUGAAAAAGAAAGUUUAAGUGGGUGGCUAGCACACUUCUGGUUUGCUAGUGGGCUUUUUGAGCUCAGUUCUCAUUUGAGUUUGGAGAUGGAUUUGUAGGGGCUCUGGGAUUUUUCCCCUGUAGUCUGUCUAUAGGAGCAAAGCGGAAGAUUUUGAUUGAAAUCAUGUCAGGUAAAUAUAAA